UACGUAGGGGGCAAGCGUUGUCCGGAAUCAUUGGGCGUAAAGCGCGCGUAGGCGGCCCGGUAAGUCCGUUGUGAAAGUCAAAGGCUCAACCUUUGAACGCCGAUGGAUACUGCCGGGCUAGAGUCCGGAAGAGGCGAGUGGAAUUCCUGGUGUAGCGGUGGAAUGCGCAGAUAUCAGGAGGAACACCAAUAGCGAAGGCAGCUCGCUGGGACGUUACUGACGCUGAGACGCGAAAGCGUGGGGAGCAAACAGG
rnacentral:rRNA from 1 species